rnacentral:pre_miRNA from 1 species
CCCACACUCAUGUGUGUAGGACCCCAAAGAAUUACCAUUAAAUUUGGCACAGGUCUGAAGAAAAGUUAUCACAUGGGUGUGGGACUUGAUUUUUUUUUAGAUUUGUGCCAAAUUUAAUAGUGAUCCUUAGAGGUCCUGCACACAUGGGUGUGGG